rnacentral:rRNA from 3 species
GGGUUGUGAGGUUAAGCGACUAAGCGUACACGGUGGAUGCCCUGGCAGUCAGAGGCGAUGAAGGACGUGCUAAUCUGCGAAAAGCGUCGGUAAGGUGAUAUGAACCGUUACAGCCGGCGAUGUCCGAAUGGGGAAACCCAGUGUGAUUCGUCACACUAUCGUUAACUGAAUACAUAGGUUAACGAGGCGAACCGGGGGAACUGAAACAUCUAAGUACCCCGAGGAAAAGAAAUCAACCGAGAUUCCCCCAGUAGCGGCGAGCGAACGGGGAGCAGCCCAG